rnacentral:rRNA from 1 species
GAUGAACGCUGGCGGCGUGCCUAAUACAUGCAAGUCGAGCGAACAGAUGAGGAGCUUGCUCCUCUGACGUUAGCGGCGGACGGGUGAGUAACACGUGGAUAACCUACCUAUAAGACUGGGAUAACUUCGGGAAACCGGAGCUAAUACCGGAUAAUAUAUUGAACCGCAUGGUUCAAUAGUGAAAGACGGUUUUGCUGUCACUUAUAGAUGGAUCCGCGCCGCAUUAGCUAGUUGGUAAGGUAACGGCUUACCAAGGCAACGAUGGCUAGCCGACCUGAGAGGGUGAUCGGCCACACUGGAACUGAGACACGGUCCAGACUCCUACGGGAGGCAGCAGUAGGGAAUCUUCCGCAAUGGGCGAAAGCCUGACGGAGCAACGCCGCGUGAGUGAUGAAGGUCUUCGGAUCGUAAAACUCUGUUAUUAGGGAAGAACAAAUGUGUAAGUAACUAUGCACGUCUUGACGGUACCUAAUCAGAAAGCCACGGCUAACUACGUG